rnacentral:lncRNA from 1 species
CCGGGUUGGGUUUGAAAAAUACAACCCACUUAUAUGCGGGUCAGAUUUCAAUCCGGUUCAUUUAGACCCGGCUCAUGCGGGUUGAACCCGUGGUGAGGGUUGGCCCACCAACCCACCUACCUAAUUUUAUUUUUUUAAUUUAUUAUUUCAUUCAUGAAAUCCCAAAAAAUAAAAUAUUUUCUUCACUCAUUGUGUAUACCAAAUCAGUAACCUCUGCUCUCACAAAUUACUCUCACGGUACUUGCUCUCAUUUUCAUUUGACGGUGCUCUCACCCC